GAUGAACGCUGGCGGCGUGCCUAAUACAUGCAAGUCGAGCGAACGGACGAGAAGCUUGCUUCUCUGAUGUUAGCGGCGGACGGGUGAGUAACACGUGGAUAACCUACCUAUAAGACUGGGAUAACUUCGGGAAACCGGAGCUAAUACCGGAUGAUAUUUUGAACCGCAUGGUUCAAAAGUGAAAGACGGUCUUGCUGUCACUUAUAGAUGGAUCCGCGCUGCAUUAGCUAGUUGGUAAGGUAACGGCUUACCAAGGCAACGAUGCAUAGCCGACCUGAGAGGGUGAUCGGCCACACUGGAACUGAGACACGGUCCAGACUCCUACGGGAGGCAGCAGUAGGGAAUCUUCCGCAACGGGCGAAAGCCUGACGGAGCAACGCCGCGUGAGUGAUGAAGGUCUUCGGAUCGUAAAACUCUGUUAUUAGGGAAGAACAUAUGUGUAAGUAACUGUGCACAUCUUGACGGUACCUAAUCAGAAAGCCACGGCUAACUACGUG
rnacentral:rRNA from 1 species